rnacentral:rRNA from 1 species
AUACGUAGGGGGCGAGCGUUGUCCGGAAUGAUUGGGCGUAAAGGGCGCGUAGGCGGCCCGGUAAGUCUGGAGUGAAAGUCCUGUUUUUAAGAUGGGAAUUGCUUUGGAUACUGUCGGGCUUGAGUGCAGGAGAGGUAAGUGGAAUUCCCAGAGUAGCGGUGAAAUGCGUAGGGAUUGGGAGGAACACCAGUGGCGAAGGCGACUUACUGGACUGUAACUGACGCUGAGGCGCGAAAGUGUGGGGAGCAAACAGGAUUAGAUACCCUGGUAGUCCACACUGUAAACGAUGAAUGCUAGGUGUAGGGGGUAUCGACCCCUUCUGUGCCGCAGUCAACACAAUAAGCAUUCCGCCUGGGGAGUACGGCCGCAAGGUUGAAACUCAAAUGAAUUGACGGGG